ensembl:lncRNA
GCUCCCUCUUUUAGUCAGUAUAUACUGCAUGUUUUGUUCUACUCUUUGUCUGAUCUUGUUUGCAUUGAGUCUCAUUUGGAUAUGCAUUUACCUCAGUUAUUUCUCCUGGAUUAUUAAAGUGACUUCCUGAGCUACUCUGAAUCAUGAGUGUUCAUAAUAUUGUGACAAUGACUUAAUUUCCUCCAAGAUCAAGCAACUCCAAGAACAUGAUUUGGAGAAAUGUAGCAUUACAUCACUUGCUCACCAAUGGAUCCUCUGCAGGGAAUGAGUGGCAUCAGAAUGAGAGUCCAAACAGAUAGUUGUCACGAUUCACUGUAGGAGGAACGAUGGAGACACGGAGAAAUGUUCAACAGUCUUUAAUAGUUGCC